rnacentral:rRNA from 1 species
AACACCCGUUCCCAUUCCGAAUACGGAAGUUAAGCCUUAUGAGGUCGAUGGUACUGCAGUCGCAAGGCUGUGGGAGAGUAGAAAGUCGCCGGUU